UCUCCUCUUCUUCUUCUUCUUUUUCUUCUUCUUCUUCUUCUUCUUCUUCUUCUUCUUCUUCUUCUUCUUCUUUUUCUUCUCCUCCUCCUCCUCCUCCUACUCCUCUUCUUCUUCUCCUCUUAUCGUCCUCCUCCUCCUCCUCAUCUCCUCUUCUCCUCCUCCACCUAACUAACCAAGCUAACUAACUAACCUAACUAAAACUACUAACCUAACUAAAUCUACCGCUAAAACUAC
rnacentral:lncRNA from 1 species